rnacentral:rRNA from 1 species
UACGGGGGGGGCAAGCGUUGUUCGGAAUUACUGGGCGUAAAGGGCUCGUAGGCGGCCAACUAAGUCGGAUGUGAAAUCCCCAGGCUUAACCUGGGAAUUGCAUCCGAUACUGGAUGGCUUGAAUCCGGGAGAGGGAUGCGGAAUUCCAGGUGUAGCGGUGAAAUGCGUAGAUAUCUGGAGGAACACCGGUGGCGAAGGCGGCAUCCUGGACCGGCAUUGACGCUGAGGCACGAAAGCUAGGGGAGCAAACAGG